CUACGGGACGCUCCAGUCGCGAAUAUUCCGCAAUGGACGAAAGUCUGACGGAGCGACGCCGCGUGCCGGAUGAAGGCCUUCGGGUUGUAAACGGCUUUUCUUAGGGAAGAACAAAUGACGGUACCUAAGGAAUAAGAGGUUGCUAACUCUGUGCCAGCAGCAGCGGUAAUACAGAGCCUCAAGCGUUAUCCGGAUUUAUUGGGCGUAAAGGGUCCGCAGGCGGCCAUACAAGUCCUGUGUCAAAUGUUCGGGCUCAACCCGAACACUGCGCAGGAAACUGUACGGCUAGAGGCUGGGAGAGGCAUACGGAAUUGUCGGUGUAGCGGUAAUAUGCGUUCAUAUCGACAAGAACACCAAAGGCGAAGGCAGUAUGCUGGAACAGUUCUGACGCUCAGGGACGAAAGCGUGGGUAGCGAAUGGGAUUAGAUACCCCCGUAGUC
rnacentral:rRNA from 1 species